ensembl:lncRNA
GAGCCUGGCAUUGCCUAUAAACGCCAUGGAAACACAUGCAGGAGCAUACACAGAUAUGCUCAUAAAUGCCUUAGGUACACCUCACUAGUACCUGUGGUUUUCUCCUACAACACACAUCAGCCACUAAAGGGCUCCAAAACUCAGCUUGAGGACACGUUGCCUUCUUCUUUCUGUUUUGCAAGGACAAAUCUGACAGAAACGUAGAAUCUGUGUAGAUAUUUAAACAGCCCAGGCGACAGGGAAAGCCUUCAGCCCGACCAUGAAGGAUAGACUUUACGACAACAUCCACUAUACAGAUGAGCCCUCAAAUUAGUGCAGGAGCCACGAGUCCCGGGGCUCGAGGAGAGAGGCGGCCACCGCUCUACCUCUGCCACCGGCCGCACCGCCAGGGGCAUCCAUCACAAAGCUGUCUGCUGCUUUCACAACCAAAGUCUUCGGAGCAUUUAAGACAGUGGUCUAUAUUUCACCCUGUAUGUGGUUCCUCUUCAUCCAAAGUAGAACAAAACGCUAAGACAAUACUUAGAUUAAAAUGGUGUAAAUGCCAAGACCUCAUGUGCGACCCCACAGACAGUUGAACGUAAACACCGCGUUCAUGAGGCACCCGCCUAUCCCAGUCACCUACACGCAUCCACCUGGGAGCUUCUGGAGCAGGCAUUAUCACCUCCCCGGUACAGAUGGGGACUUGAAUGCUGAGAAAAGGAGAGCAACAUGGCGGAGUUCAGACCAUGCCUACUGAGGUCCAAGUCUGGAGUCUUGACCAUCAGGUUCAGGUCACAGGGGCCAAACUGACCUGAUGGCCAAGUGCCCUUUUCCUCAGUCAGGCCCAAUCCCACCAUCCAAGAGACACUGCCACUUCCAUUCAGACUUCCAUGCAGCAGCAGGAAGCCAUUGGGACGCUACGGACAUCCUAACUAGCCCAGCAGAGUGGUACAUACACUGGGGACAAAGGCAAGAUUUCCAAGAGGACCUGGAAUUACCAGACAUGCCAGGUCAGCAAGGUCAUGACUAAUGGGUAACUUUGAUCCCUGGAUUUCUAAUGGCACUCAAGUGUGGUGAUGGGUCUCCAGGCAGACUGGACAUUGGGCAGCUGGUAAAGAAGAAAUGGUCUCUGGGAGAUUUUCCCACAGCCUGAAGAGGCCCAAGCCAGGGAGGAUGCAGGACAAAACCAAUGUUAGUCCCUGAGGGGAAGCAGAAGGAGAAUAGAGGUGAAAGAGGGGUAUCCAGGAUGUGACUCGAAAGACAUCAAGAGCUGGUGCUUGAUGAUCAUGUGGGAUCUGUGUAGCUAUGAGUUAGACCAUCCUGGGACUAGGACCCAGAAAAUGAUUAAUCCUAACAUUUCGUCUGCUCAGGAUUGGCCGUGGAACCAAAAUGGCAGGGUAGACAUGUGGGAGCUUAGCUGUGAGAAGCCUGGGAAGAAGGGUCCACUACCACCUCCCCAAUUGCAAUUCUCUUGAAGAGAGAUGUAUUAAGCCAAAGAACGGGAUUUCUUAAGAGAAGGGUAUGGACAGGAAAUAGGUUGCUGAGUCCCAACAAAUCAUGAAGAGAAAUGUAACAGAACAGAAAGUUUCUAGAGUGGGACAUCAGAAAGAUGUGGGUGUGAAUUCCAGUUCAACCGCUUAACAGUUACGUGUGCCAGGAAAUCUCAGAGCUUCCCCUGCCUUAUCUGUUAAACAAGGAAAAUAGUAAUAAGGCCUACCUAUAGUAGGCACACCCAUCAUGCCUCCCUACUCAAGCUUCUUUCUGAGCCCUCAGUCCUGGCAGCAUCUGGGCCAUGUCAACCUACCUAAAUCUGUCAUCUACUUAUAUCCGUCAUCUCUGGCAUUGGACCCAGGCUGGAUCCCAGACUGAAUCUAGACCAAUGGGCACCUGGGAAUUCAGAUUUGGGACUUUGUAGGCAAAGCUGGUUAUCUGUGAGUAGAUGAACUUCUAGGUUAGGUAGACUCGGUCACUAAGAGCACCACUGGUGUGCAAGCAGUUGAAUGAGAAGACGUGCAGCAGGAAGCAAAGAUAGCGAAAUUUCUUUCUCUAGCCCUAGUCCCCACAAGGCUGCAAUUAGAUUCUAAGGGAUUUAUCUAUAUGUAACAAUAAAUUUUCCUUUUAUUUGAGCCUCUUUGAGAGAGUUUCUGGUGCAUGCAAGCAUUUUGCCCUGAUUGAGAUCCUCAACAAAUAGUAGCAAUUACAAUGAUGACUCCAAGACGAGUACAGUGACGAAGAUGAUGACUUCCAUGACAUCAAAUGCUCUUGUGUAGCCCUUUCUUGAAAAUUUCUUCAUGGAGACACCUGACUGAGUUCUGUUUCCUUCCAGGAUCUUUCUGCUCCUCCCUCUUCCCCCUCCUGCUCCUCCUCCUCACCUCCCACUCCCUACCCUACCCCAACAUUCCCUUCUAAAACAGGCCAAGCAGCUAAGGGAGUUGCAUCUUUGGAACACUCUUGCCACAAUGGAUGUGAAGAACACCUAUAAGGAAGGAACUGAGGCUGCUCCCGCAUUUCACAUACCACUUUAUGGCAGAUGGGAACCGGAAGUCACUGAUCAGUCAGUCCUUCCUAGCACUGGUGCCAAGAAAAGAAAGCACCUGGGUUUAAUUACCAAGCCCAAGGAGAGUCCUGGGAACGUCUAGUCUCCGUGCCACCUUCAGAUUGUCUCCUUUACUUGGUGGUUUGAUUACCAUAUCUGUCAAAUACAUCUUUUAAAC